CCUACGGGGCGCACCAGUGGGGAAUUUUGGACAAUGGGCGAAAGCCUGAUCCAGCAAUGCCGCGUGUGUGAAGAAGGUCUUCGGAUUGUAAAGCACUUUCGACGGGGACGAUGAUGACGGUACCCGUAGAAGAAGCCCCGGCUAACCUCGUGCCAGCAGCCGCGGUAAGACGGGGGGGGCAAGUGUUCUUCGGAAUGACUGGGCGUAAAGGGCACGUAGGCGGUGAAUCGGGUUGAAAGUGAAAGUCGCCAAAAACUGGCGGAAGACUCUCGAAACCAAUUCACUUGAGUGAGACAGAGGAGAGUGGAAUUUCGUGUAUAGGGGUGAAAUCCGGAGAUCUACGAAGGAACGCCAAAAGCGAAGGCAGCUCUCUGGGUCCCUACCGACGCUGGAGUGCGAAAGCAUGGGGAGGGAACGGGAUUAGAUACCCUCGUAGUC
rnacentral:rRNA from 1 species